CCGACGGGGGGCAUCAUUAAGGAGUAUUGGUCAAUGGGCGCGAGCCUGAACCCUCCCCUCCUCUUUCCUUCUUCCUUCCCUCCUUUUUUUCCCCUUCUUUUCUCCCUAAAUAAGGUGAGGCACGUGUGCCUUUUUGCAUUUACUUUAUGAAUAAGGAUCGCCUAAAUCCGUGCCAGCAGCCGCGGUACUACGGAGGGUCCGAGCGUUAUCCGGAUUUAUUGGGUUUAAAGGGAGCGUAGAUGGGUUGUUAAGUCAGUUGUGAAAGUUUGCGGCUCAACCGUACAAUUGCAAUUGAUACUGGCAGCCUUGAGUACAGUUGAGGUAGGCGGAAUUCGUGGUGUAGCGGUGAAAUGCUUAGAUAUCACGAAGAACUCCGAUGGCGAAGGCAGCUUACUAAACUGCCACUGACAUUGAUGCUCGAAAGUGUGGGGAUCAAACAGGAUUAGAUACCCCUGUAGUC
rnacentral:rRNA from 1 species